rnacentral:tRNA from 1 species
AACCUGGAUAGCUCAGUUGGUCAGAGCAUGGUGCUGAUAAUGCUAAGGUCACAGGUUUGAUCCCCGUAUGGGUCA